rnacentral:rRNA from 1 species
UACGUAGGGGGCAAGCGUUGUCCGGAUUUAUUGGGCGUAAAGAGCGUGUAGGCGGCUAGAUAGGUCCGUUGUGAAAACUCGAGGCUCAACCUCGAGACGUCGAUGGAAACCAUCUAGCUAGAGUCCGGAAGAGGAGAGUGGAAUUCCUGGUGUAGCGGUGAAAUGCGCAGAUAUCAGGAGGAACACCGGUGGCGAAGGCGGGUCUCUGGGCCGAUACUGACGCUGAGGAGCGAAAGCGUGGGGAGCGAACAGG